rnacentral:rRNA from 1 species
AGUUUGAUCCUGGCUCAAAAUCAACGCUGGCGGCGCGCUUAACACAUGCAAGUCAAACGAGAAAGCCCGCAGGGGUGAGUAAAGUGGCGUACGGGUGAGUAACACGUGGGUAAUCUACCUUUUGGUGGGGAAUAACGCUGGGAAACCGGCGCUAAUACCGCAUAAGCCUGAGAAGGGAAAGGAGCAAUUCGCCGAAAGAGGAGCCCGCGGCUGAUUAGCUAGUUGGUGAGGUAAGAGCUCACCAAGGCGAUGAUCGGUAGCCGGCCUGAGAGGGCACACGGCCACACUGGCACUGAAACACGGGCCACACUCCUACGGGAGGCAGCAGUGGGGAAUCUUGCACAAUGGGGGAAACCCUGAUGCACCGACGCCGCGUGAGUGAUGAACCCCUUCGGGGUGUAAAGCUCUUUCGGCAGGGACGAUAAUGACGGUACCUGAAAAAGAAGCUGCGGCUAACUACGUGCCAGCAGCCGCGGUAAUACGUAGGCAGCGAGCGUUGUUCGGAGUUACUGGGCGUAAAGAGUGCGUAGGCGGUUUUCUAAGUUUGGUGUGACAUCUCCCGGCUUAACUGGGAGGGUGCGCCGAAGACUGGGAGGGCUGGAGUAUGGGAGAGGUAAGCGUAUUUCCUGGUGUAGCGGUGAAAUGCGUAUAUAUCAGGAGGAACACCUGCGGUGUAGACUGGCUUACUGCACCAUAACUGACGCUGAGGCACGAAGCGUGUGUAGCAAACAGGAUUAGAUACCCUGUACUCCCACGCCCCUAAACGAUGCA